rnacentral:hammerhead_ribozyme from 1 species
AUCUAGCUGACGAGUCACAAAUAGGACGAAACAUGCGUAAAACUGGAU